CACGACUACAUAGAUACCCGCGUAGUCCCAGCCCUAAACGAUGCGCGUUAGGUGUAUCGGUGACCACGAGUCACCGAGGUGCCGAAGGGAAACCGUGAAACGUGCCGCCUGGGAAGUACGGUCGCAAGGCUGAAACUUAAGGAAUUGGCGGGGGAGCACCACAACGGGUGGAGCCUGCGGUUUAAUUGGACUCAACGCCGGGAAGCUCACCGGAUAAGACAGCGGAAUGAUUGCCGGGCUGAAGACCCUGCAUGACCAGCUG
rnacentral:rRNA from 1 species